UACGUAGGGGGCAAGCGUUGUCCGGAUUUAUUGGGCGUAAAGAGCUCGUAGGUGGUUCGGUAAGUCGGGUGUUAAACCCCCAGGCUCAACCUGGGGACGCCACUCGAUACUGCUGUGACUAGAGUCCGGUAGGGGAGCGUGGAAUUCCUGGUGUAGCGGUGAAAUGCGCAGAUAUCAGGAGGAACACCAGCGGCGAAGGCGGCGCUCUGGGCCGGUACUGACACUGAGGAGCGAAAGCGUGUGUAGCAAACAGG
rnacentral:rRNA from 1 species